AACAGAUAAUGAGUUUUAACUCGCAAAUAUUCCAAACUCAGGCAAUAUUUUCCCCGGAAACUAUACCAGGUAGUUCGACUAAUAGUAUAGAAAAAAAUGAAGAAGUUCUCAAAGCGAUAAAAACUGUGGAAAAUAAAUUUGAUUGCCUCUCAGCCGAAAUCGGGAUGUUAAAAGAAGUUAUGUGCAAACAAUCGGUACUAUUGGCAAAGAUGACAUGAUACGAAACUCUCUCAUUUUCCCUCAAACCGAAUUCCCUGAUCUAUCAUUUUCAGUUGGUAGCAAUGCGAGUUGAAGGAAUUUUUGACAGCUUAUGUCAGAAAAGGCGGGAUGCCAGAAAUAAUCCCGCUAAAACUAUUGAGAAAAUCAGUGCGAAAAUUUACUUGACGGUGAAACAAGCUUUUAAACAAUUAUUUAAAAAGUCAAACGUCGGUAUUACUGAAACGCUAUUAUAUAAUAUUACAAAAGAAACGCAAAAAUGCCUAAAGUUAGGAAGUGUGUGGUUGGAUGCGAGGGCGGACAGCAUUUUUUCAACUUUCCCUGUAAGGAAAAGGAUGAAGACAGUUAUAUGGGUGAUAUAGGCCUACUAGGGAACCGAACACCAAAAAAUAACAUCGGUAACGCGCUAAUUGCAUACCUCAGUGGUAGUGUGGAAACUCCAAAACACCCAAAAUUGAUUUCUAAAAUACCCAAUCUGAUUUCUUCGGUAGUGGCAUCACUGCCAAAUGUUAUAAAAAAUGUGGAUUUUGACAGCGCUCUCACAAAACAAAGAGUUUCGUAUCAUUUCAUCUUUGUUACUGGAAGCGAUUGGUAAGACCUUACGUCCAUCUAGGAUCGACUUGCAAUUUUUACCAAUUAAUUCUAUGGUGAAGCUAGAUUCAGCAGAAGAGCUGAUUAAAAACAAACCGGAAUCAGAAGUGAUUAGCUACAUAAAGUUCAGGAUAAAUAAUAUCAAACUGGAAAAAGCCUUAACAAAAAUAUUUGACGAUAACGUUUUGCUGAAAAUAAAUUGGGGUGGCUCGAAAAACAUAACUGCGAUAAAUAGAUACAGACUGUUUAACUUUUUCUUUUUCGAAUAAGUUAAAGAAAAAUAUUCGUCUUACGGGGAUUUUGAAAAAGCGAUUAAACUGGCCUUUCGAAAAUAUAAGGCAACUUUUUACCGAAAGAUAUAUUCAAUAAAAUCUGCUUCGUCUCAGAAAAAUUCCUAAAUAAUAAAGUAUGUAGCUAUUUACUUGAUUUUAAAUCAUUAUAACCAUGUAUAUACUGUAUAUUAUUUAUGUGAAUUACUAAUACUUAUAUUUU